UUUUUUUUUUUUUUGGGCGCCAGGAAGGAAGGGAUGUUGGUGCAACCAGUUUCAUUGACAGAGAUGUGAGUUGUGUGGAAGGGCAGGUAACAUAUACUGGUGGAAAAUGACGGAAUUAAGCGACUUUUUACGUGCCCGAGGGAUCCCUGAAGAUACCAUUUCAUUAAUGGAAGAGCAGAAGAUUGACUGUGAUGUCAUAGCGCUUAUGGAUGACGCAACUCUAGCAAAUUACAUCACCUCCUAUGGAGACCGAAUAGCCGUCUUCAAUUUCUGCAGAAGCAAACAACCACUCUCAAAAAGAAAACAGGGACUUCUGCAGAGACUUCGUGAGAAAA